CUUGGUGUGCUGAAAGACCUUUACAGGAUUUCGUUUGGUGUAUUUUUUAGUUUGCAUUUCCGUGCAAAUAGCAAAUGUAUAAUGUUUCGUCUGCAUUAGCAAAAUUAACUCUUGCACAGCAAGGUUGUACAAAAUAAUUGUAAAUUGUUAUCAUCAAUUAUAUUGAAAAGAUUCGCAGCGAACCUAAUUCAGAAAGUCUGCAGACAUUAUUGCAUUUGAGUUGAGUACAAUGUUUGGAAAACUGAUUUCGUUUUUGAUUGGGGCAUAUGCUGGGAUAUAUGCUGAUCAACAUUAUAAGAUGCCAAGAAUAGACAACCCGCAGGAUAUGUGGGCCCGACUGAAAGUGGUCAUGGACGACUACAAGAAGGAAAACCCGGGACCCAAAUCUGACUAACGGUUAAACUAACAGGCUGUGACCUGUUAAACUAACAGGCUGUGACCUGUUAAACUAACAGGCUGUGACCUGUUAAACUAACAGGCUGUGACCGUAUAGUUUACAUAUCCUUUGUGGGUAAUCCUGACCAGGCUGGAAAUGUGUGUGACCAAAAUAACAAUGUAUUACUACAUACAAUCAUGUACAUUGUAUAUUCUGGAUGGUUUUUCAUCAUCCGAUACAAAAUGAAGAAGAUGCAUUUUAGCCUUUGUUGAGCAGCUACAUCAGGAAGUAUUACACAAUCUGCUAAAACUAGUGGUUGUUUAAUGCAGGUUAUUUUGUACUGUAGUGGCUGCUUUACACAGUUUUUUUUUAUUAAUACAGGCCGAAUUUCACUACAUGUUUUGUAUAUCAGAUGACUGGGAGACCAUUAUAGUAGCAGACAUGGAUUCAGUGAGACAUGAAUGUCACUUCCAUUCAAUUUCUGUUUGAAAAAUUUGCAUGGUUAAGAAUGAAAUGGUUUUAGCUUGAUAUCCUGUAACACCUAUGUACCAUUUGAAAAAUUUGGGAUAUACCGUAUUUCUUCUAAUAAGCUCCAAGCCUUCAAUAGGCGUAGGGUCUGUAACAGUUUGUAACAAAAUAAACACCAGGCCUCCAAUAAAUGCUGGGUAAGACAGCUCAAAAAUUAUUAAUCCCUGGCCUCUUUCAGCAAUGACGUUGACACUAGACACUUUACAUCGACAAAUAAUAUUAAUAUGUUCAUUGUUUUGUUGAAGUUUAAAGUUUUGUUACAGUUAAAGUUUAAAAAUAACUAAAAUUGUAAGUUUGUAGUUUUUAGCUUUAAUUUCUAAAAUUUGUUUUAAAAAAUUAAGUCCGGGUCUCCAGUAAGUGCCGGGUCUGCGACCAUUUUGAAAUGAAUAAACGCCCGGGUGCUUAUUAGAGGAAAUACGGUAUCAUCCGAUGAGAAACAAGGGUUUAAAAAAAUAAAAAAAAUAAGGUGGUACAAGAAAUAUUGACAUUGGACACAAUACUAUGACUGGUAUAUCAAAAGCUGUGCUGUUCUGUCUGUGGGAAAGUGCAUAUAAAAGAUCUCGUUGCUAAUGGGGAAAAUGUAGCAGGCUUUCUCAGAAGACUGUCAGAAUUAUGAAAUGUUUGACAUUCAUUAGCAGACGAUUAAUUAAUCUGUGUAGUCCAGUGGUGUUUAUUGUCACAUAUGUGUGCAUAAUAGUUGGGAUAUAGGGGGUGGGGGUGGGUGGAAUAAAGUGCUUGUUGAGGUAUGGUGUGUUAUAAGAUUGAUUGCCGUUAAUGGAAUCUAGGAUUUCGUUUUGCAUCUUAAACAGUGCCUCAUAACAAGACUAAUAUGUGCUGCCAUGUAUGGAAAACGUCAUGUAAAAGAGCCCUUGCUGCAUUUAAUGGGAGUAGCGUACACAAUGUAUGUGGUGGUAGCGGGUUUCCUCUUUAUCUAUAGUCCUUCCCAGCAGUAAGGAUCAUUUUCUUACUGUGGUAUGUACACAUGCUAUUUAUUGCUGAACUGAUUGUUUUUAAAACUGCACACAAAAAAAGAGUGAUUUCUUUUGUUAUUUCCAACAUUUUCUCUUAUGUCAAAUCACAUUGAAAUUUAUGUACAAAAAAAUCAUUGUUAAGGGAGGCUGGGAAGGACUAUAGACCAAGUAUCAAAAUGUUUACUCAAUUCUGUCCAAUUCUGUCGGUCGUUCACUGAAGAUUAUUCAAUACAAAUUAAAAAAAAUUAUACUAGUAAAUUUAAUUAUUUGGUUGUAAAUUUUUAUGGUCAUAUAGUUUAGGGUAUAUUUACUUUUUAAAACAAAACUUAUUUAAAAAAUUUGGCCAUUAUGGUAGCAUAGCACCUUUAAAUCCUGCUCAAUUAAUGUGUGUUAAUCUGUUUGGGUUUUUAAAAUAUAUUUUUAAAAAUUAAGAUAGUACAAAUGAAAAUAUUUUGCCUUACAUGUAGAUACACGAGAAAAUGAUAUUUGAAACCCUGAACUCAUAUAUGUUGCAUAGUUUAUAAGAUGAGUUUACAUGUAUCUUGAAAUAUUAGUGAAAUAUUUAUAUCAUGGAGUGAACAGAUGAUGAAUAAAAUAUGAGUUUUUCA
rnacentral:lncRNA from 1 species